rnacentral:rRNA from 1 species
UACGUAGGGGGGCAAGCGUUGUCCGGAAUCAUUGGGCGUAAAGAGCGCGUAGGCGGCCCUGUAAGUCCGCUGUGAAAGUCAAGGGCUCAACCCUUGGAUGCCGGUGGAUACUGCAGGGCUAGAGUCCGGAAGAGGCGAGUGGAAUUCCUGGUGUAGCGGUGAAAUGCGCAGAUAUCAGGAGGAACACCGAUGGCGAAGGCAGCUCGCUGGGACGGUACUGACGCUGAGGCGCGAAGGCGUGGGGAGCGAACAGG